UUUUUAAACCUUCCUGGAGGAGCUUGCUAUCUAACCGAUAAUCCUCGUUAUACCUCACCAACUUUUGUACACCAGCCUGUAUACCAUCGUCGUCAGUUUACCUUCUAAGAGCAGUAAACAAAAAGAACAAUAACUUCACAACGCCAGAUCGAGGUGCAGCUUAUAAGUUGGGGAUUAGUGAGCUACAAUAUUCUUCAAAUAAACCAAUUAUGGAUGUACCCUUUAAUAUUGGGCACAAAAACAGGAUUCAGAAGUAAUUACAAAGUAGAAAAUUAUAAUGAACACAAAGCUCUAAAAUACGU
rnacentral:rRNA from 1 species